UACGUAGGAGGCGAGCGUUGUCCGGAAUUACUGGGCGUAAAGCGCGCGUAGGCGGUCUUUCGCGUAGGCGGUGAAAGCCCCCGGCUCACCCGGGGGAGGUCCGUCUAAACGGGGAGACUCGAGGGCGGUAGGGGCCGGUGGAACGCCCGGAGUAGCGGUGAAAUGCGUUGAGAUCGGGCAGAACACCAGUGGCGAAGGCGGCCGGCUGGGCCGUACCUGACGCUGAGGCGCGAAAGCCAGGGGAGCGAACGGA
rnacentral:rRNA from 1 species